ACAUGAUUAUUUUUAAUCUUUCCACAGGACAGAACAGGCAGAGAAAUCUAAAAACCAUCGAGAAAGUAAGAGUGGAAAAAAGGACACAAACCAUGGUGCAGUCCCAGAGAAGAAACGGGUGAUUAAAUGGCCUGUUAAUGUGACUGAGAGGGGGAAGAGGAGAGGAGAGAAGAGCAUCCACAAUACAGAUGACUUUAUGAAGACUGACAAUGAUUUAAAACAGCAAGACGGGACUCAGUCUGACACAGAGUCUGACGAUUAUGAUGACAUCGGGGCACUAGUUGACAGUAGGCUUGAGGCACAAAAUUUCGAGGACGAUGAUAUUUACGAUGAUGUGGCUCAUCCAGACACAAGAUUUUCAACUCUGACAGAAAUGGCCGCAGAUGAUUGUAUCUAUGAAGUCAACUGAUCUACAAUAUUGACUGUGACAAUGUGAUGAGCACGGACCAGAUUACUGGAUCAUUUCAACAUAAUACAGUAUACAGAGUUUGUAUAUUAUUGAUUAAUUACUUGUAUUUAUCAUUUACUGUUUAAACUAUUGUGCAUUUUCUUGAUCAUCAACCUGAUUAAUACAUAUCUAUUGAUACAUGUUUUAUUAUAUGAUUUAUGAUUAAUACAUGAUUGUGGUGAAUAUGUUGUAACUUAACUCAAACUAUGUGUGACAGUGCUGAGCUUUUGAACAGUCAUUGUAGUUGUUACAUGCUGUAACAAAUGGAUGUUGGCUG